rnacentral:lncRNA from 1 species
AUGCCUCAAGAACUGAAUAUUCUUUACAACAUUCAGCUUUCCCAUCUGGGGAUAUACCAUCCUUACUCAAGUUUUCUUUCAAUAAGGUUUAGAGUUCUCUGCUCCAGAGCACCUUGUGGACAGCUGAGAGCUGCUACCGGGUUGAAGGAAUGGGGUGUGUGUGUGUGUGCGCACACGUGUGAUCGGCUACAACUGUGAGUAUGACAUUAACCAGUUGGUACCUGAGUUAUUCUCUCCUGUCUAUUCACUUAGCAUCCACCCCAGCACUGACUACAUUGACUGUAUCAUCUUUUAUGGUGUCCUCUAUUGGGCAGUGGGCAGACUGUCUUCAUCAUUUCAGAAGUAAUCCCUGAAUGUAAUAGCUGUUCAAUGAUGUUUGUUAAGUGAACAAGUGGAAGAAUGAGGGUUUGUGUCCUCUGUGCCCAGGCUCUGGCCUGGAGUCAGCAAAAGACACCAAGGAAGGCAGCAUAGCCUGCUCUGUGGCUGAGCCAGGCAGAACACCAAGGACAUUUAGGGAUUUUAAGUAGAAGGCAAGAUGUUUGAUUAGCAUAUUAACUGAGGGGAAGACUAUGAUUUGGGGCACCUAACUGAAGGUCAUGUAUCAAGGAGGCCUCGAGGUGCAUCCCUGGUUGUCCCUGCUGGUAGGCUUUGAGCGAGGUCACCGAGCUCCCUGACUGCUAUACAUUUCGGAAGAAUCACAGGCAGAAGCGUAGGACAGGUUUCUCUGGGCCCAUGUUUUCCCCUGGAGCCCAGCUUUCCAAGAACAGAGCAUGGUCUGUGUGACUUAACAGACACUGGUAGUUGGUGAAUCCAGAAAGACUUGCAGAAGCAGGGCAUUGUGGCAAAAGAGACACCUAUGCAUUGGGAUCAUCUUGUGCAAAAUAUCUAAAUGUGUACUUAUUUGCAAUCCUUCGAUGAAGGGUCAAAGCCUAUUCUUUGAAUGUGGGUCUGCUAAUUAGAGUUCCUUUCACUUUCCGGGCAUCAACAACACCUGUGAUGCAUCAGGUAAGCCAAGUUUGAGUUUCUUUAAAGUAGAGCAAGAACUUCAAGACCACGAAAAACAGCAUAAAUUCAGAAUUCUAGAUUUUUAUUAUUACUCUCACCACCCCUCUGCCCUGCUCCCCAAGCCCCACUCUUUGUUAAUGUACUCAGCUCCAUUUUAUUUAACAACAUUUUGAAUGCCACUCCUUAUCAAGUU